GGGCGGAUAGCUCAGUUGGUAGAGCGCCUGCCUUACAAGCAGGAUGUCGCAGGUUCAAGUCCUGUUCCGCCUA
rnacentral:tRNA from 1 species